AGCGAGUUCUACGAAGUGCUCUCUAGUCAUCUGGCAGGGGAGGAAAAGUUUAGGUUUAUGUUACAGGAAAUCAGGGAAGAGUAUUCACACAGAAAGGCCCGUUUCAGAUAAUGGCAGCAAAAAGAACCCAGACGUCAUGUCACGUUAGCAGAGGUGGGGUUGACAGCAAAAUAUCCAAACCAAAAAUGAUAGACCAAUCUACUGACUCUCCAACGAAGAAGGUGAAAGGUGUGGAUAUGAAUGUUACUCCAAAAAGCCAUGAAAUCCCGCAUGGAUUGGAAGGGGCAAUGUCAGAAGCAAAUAGAAGUCUCAACAUGCUCUUCUCAGAAUUCACAGAAUUGUUAAGAGAAAGAGUGUCUGUGGACUCCUCACAAGUGAAUGAGUU